rnacentral:rRNA from 1 species
UACGUAGGGUGCGAGCGUUAAUCGGAAUUACUGGGCGUAAAGAGCGCGCAGGCGGUCGUUCAAGUCGAGUGUGAAAGCCCCCGGCUCAACUGGGGAGGGUCACUCGAUACUGAUCGACUCGAAGGCAGGAGAGGGAAGUGGAAUUCCCGGUGUAGUGGUGAAAUGCGUAGAUAUCGGGAGGAACACCAGUGGCGAAGGCGACUUCCUGGCCUGUUCUUGACGCUGAGGCGCGAAAGCUAGGGGAGCAAACGGG